UAAAGUAUUUAAGGUGGUUCGAUUUCCAUACUAAUUUAUUUUUCCAUUUAUGGACAUCUAGGCCAUAAUUUCAUACUGAAAUCACAUCAGUUGGCACUUAAUCAGAUCUUUAUUUGCGCUAAAAUAUAUUUAUCUGAAGAAAACAAUAGAUUAAUAGCUAAAUGAGAUCGAAAUUUUUACUAAUUUUUGUCAAUGUAUGAGUAGAAGGCGAUAGUGUCGUACGCUACGUACGUUUUAGUGGUGUGCGUUUCCGCUGCUUUCGUGGAAGUAGAUGCUGCGUUGCCAGUUCGCUGAUAGUAAGUUGGCAAGCGCUGUUGCCGCUCUUCGUUUUACGUUUGACGCAAAAUUAAAACUAUUAGCUUCAUGAAUAGCUUUCGAUGCGUCCCGGUCAGGUGAUGCCAAACGUAAGAGUUUCCUAAGAAUUUAGGGAAAAAUUCCCUAAAAGUUUGAAAUCAUGAACUAUUAACGCAGUAAUAUACUAAGCCUAUUAUUAUGAUAAAUAUACUUGCUUUUAGUAGCAUAAAGUAGUUGUAAAACUUUUUGAUCGAUUUUACCGAAACCAAAUUUUAUGUCAAUUUAUAUACUUUUAAUACUAUUAUUUCAUUAAUAUAGCCUUAAAAUCAUACUGAGGUAUUUAUAAUGAAUCGUAGUAAUUAAAAUAAUUAAAAUAAAAUAAUUAAAAUAAAAAUUAAAAAAAAGCUCUGGGUGUAUGGCGCACCGCGCAUUAUUCAAUAUCUAGGCAAAAACUAUUUAGAGAUGGUAACCCUCUUAUUGUGAAUUGCCGAUUGCGCGACGCGGUGGUACCUCUAGUGUUUGUGAUUUACAAGUGAUAAAGUUUGAGUAUUUUUAUUGUAUUGUUGCUUGUUCAUGCAACAAAAAUAAAUUAUGGAGCCACGAACUUCACGCAAAGAUUAUCUGAAUCACCAUUACUCUGGCCCCCGGAAAAGUCGCAAACGAGUUCUUGGACAAAUGAAAAAAAGAUAUCAUGGAGAAAGCAAAAGUCGUAGUGAAGUGUGGUGCAAAAAGAAGGCAGAUAACAAUCCUAUUCCUGGAAGUUUUGUGUAUGUGGAACAUGAAUAAUCUUCAAAUAAUAGUAAUUGAUCCAUAAUACAUAGGGAUUAUAGAAGAAGAAGUCAAUUUUGGAAAUAAAGUGUUUUCCCUCAUUGGCUCGCAACAGUCAAGAUAUGUUUUCUGCUGCAAAAGAUUGUAAAAAUUUUCCUCUCUACAUUGAUAGUACUGGGAGGUUACAAAUGAAUAAAAAACACAAUUUCUAUUAUCAGAUCCAGGGCCAGCUGUGGGUUACAAAAAUGAACAAAUGCUACUUUGUUAGAUAUAUUUCUCCAACUUACGACAUCACUAUUUUAGAAAUAGAACGUGAUGAAGUUUUUAUGGGUAACAUGAUACCAAAACUAGAUAAUUUUUUUAAAAAUUGUGUAUUGCCUGAAGUAGUACUUCGGAGAGUCGGCAAUAAUCAAACUUGCUUAUACAUUUCAUUGUGUAAAUAAAAUCAAUAAAAAUAUUUGAAAAAUAAUCAACUGCAUACAUGCAACAUGUACUCUACGUUGAUAAGAACCACCCUUGUGUAAAUUUAACCUUUUCCCACAAAUGAAUUUGCCUGAAAAACCCUCAUGAAAUUUUCCACUACAUUUGUUGUAUCAUUCGAUAGCCGAUGGCAUUUCGCCAUGACCUUUGUCUCAUUUGCAGCACAUAUGAGGGCCCACACUGUGGGAGCUUUACUUUAGACUAGAAGAAUACAUUCUAAUGAGUCUGUGUCUUUUUCAUCACUGUUGACACAGAAUCUACAGUAAUAUGGUUUACAUUCUUUAUGGCAGCCAAACACAUGAGAUGGGUCAAUUUUUGAAUCCUUAUCCUAAAUCAAUAAAAAUAUUUUUCAAAUAUUUUUAUUGAUUUUAUUUACACAAUUGGCUCAAUUUUACUGUCCCAUUCGGUGUCGAGACCCUUGGUCCCUGGGGUCCUAGCGCUUCAAGCCUUUUUAGGGAAAUAUGAAAAAGGUUAGUCGACAUCACAAAAGGCCGAAGAGCUGGCAGCUACCUCUGACUAAGAAUUAGUCUAGCCAUUCAAAGGGGGAACGAUGCCAGUAUCUUUGGAACCUUGCCUAA